rfam:Octopus bimaculoides Scaffold47186_contig_16, whole genome shotgun sequence.
AGCAGUUUAGCUUAGAUGGUAAAGCACUUUGACCGAAAAUUGAAGGGAUGUGAGUUCAAGUCUCAUGGCUGGUU